GACGAACCGAGCGAACGUUGUUCGGAAUCACUGGGCUUAAAGGGCGCGUAGGCGGGCUGUCAAGUUUGGGGUGAAAUCCCGCGGCUCAACCGUGGAACUGCCUCAAAUACUGACGGUCUCGAGGGAGGUAGGGGCAACCGGAACAAACGGUGGAGCGGUGAAAUGCGUAGAUAUCGUUUGGAACGCCAAUGGUGAAAACAGGUUGCUGGGAGUGUGCUGACGCUGAGGCACGAAAGCCAGGGGAGCGAACGGG
rnacentral:rRNA from 1 species